GCCCGGGUGAUGGAACUGCUAUACAUGAGGGACUUAAAAUCCCUUGAGCGUAAGCUCGUGCGGGUUGGAAUCCCGCCCCGGGCACCA
rnacentral:tRNA from 3 species